UAUUUCCAACUUGGAAUCCAGUCCAAAAAAACUAAAGCUCAGAAGCUUACCCAACCACCUAAUUAACCAGCUUUCGUGUUAACAUGGGAGCACACCACGCUAAUUAAAGCAAGUAUUCAUAUUUUAAUUUAGUACUUUGAUGAUUUGAAGCUGAGAUUUUUUGAAAAAGCCCCACACACCACAACGUUCAUCCACUGGUAACUGGCAAGUAUUUAUAAGCUUACGUUCAGAUCCGAGUGAGCGGCAGAAGAACUGAUCCCAGAUCGGAUGAUUAGCUGUAGGUUUAUAUACAUGCUCCACUCUGGCUGCGACUUCACCUGACAGCUCAUUGCUCUCUCUCCCUCAUCUUCAGCCUCCUCCUCUCUCACCCUGCCCUUCGCUCCCUGACUCACGGCCUCCUUCGGGGGCCACGGUGGGAGAACAGUGCACGGUCUGGGCCGACGCAUAAAUAUUAGCUCAAGGUCAAAGGGGCCGUGCAUAAUCACGACUCUGACUGCCGCGCGGCCUCUUCGCAUAUUACUGCACCCAUUGACACGGCUAACCUUGACGAGUUAAAGCCCGAUGGCCUGUUGGAAAUGAACACCAAAAAUAAAAUACCCAAAAUGAGUCAGCAAUAGCUCCCCUUCACCAGAAGGGUCAUAUCCAUAUGUCUGCUCUCUUUUCAAAUGCAAUAAGCUGAACAAGAAGAAUCCAUCGUCCACAUCCACAUUUCAAAAGCAAUAUCACCAAUAUCCCAUGAUGAUGAUGCAAUGUCUUCCACUUGUCUUCUUACUCGGGCUGUAAAUGUACAUCCUGUAUAUACCAUACAUCUGCUCAAAAACACAAAUAGAAAUAAAUACAUUGGAUAUUGAUCACUAUUCAUGCAUGACUGAAGGGCUCCAUGCUCUGUGAGGUAUGCUCGGAUUGCCCCCCCCCCCCCCAAGUACGUGAGUGAGAUGGUUACUGGCUCCUCCCACAGGCUCACAGUGACUUCCCAGCAGCCUCUACUGUAGUGCAGCUAAAGCAGGGGUGUCAAACUCAUUUACAUUGUGGGCCACUUCAGCAUCAUGGCUGCCUCUUAAAGGGCCAGUGUACCUGAAACGCUCGAUGGUGUUUUGAGCCCUGGUCCCGCCCCCCAAAACUCUGAUCCAAUCAAUGCGCUACCCCCACUUGGAGCGGAGCGCAUAUUCAAAUCCACUUUUUGGAGCGCAUUGCAUAUUCAAACCCGCGCAUUUGGAGCCAAACCCACUUGGAGCGCAUUUGGAGCGCAUUUAACCCACUUGGUUCAACAAUUUCAAAGGUACGUAGCUAUUUUUGGGCCGGCUAAUGUUGUGGUAAUGUUAUUUCAACCUGCUAGCUAGCAGAUAGAUGAUGCUAAUCUUAGCUGUGGUAAUGUCAUUUCUACCUGCUAGCGAGCUAAAUCUGGUUAAAACAUUAGGUAACAAAGUAAGAUUAAUUACUGCAGAUUAAUCACUGUAUUUGAGUGAUUGUUAAUGGUUAGUGGUUAUCUUUCAAAUGAUGCCUGUGAGGCACUUGACGUUGAGACUGGUUGACUUCCAGGCUGCUUUGGAAUAAGGAUACCUCUGAGGCAGCCACCAGUUUUGGAUAACUCUGAGGCAUCAUAGGUAGUGUUGACUGCCAGGCUGCCUAGUCGUUGGUAUACAGGUUAACUCACAGGCAUCCAGUUGGUUUUAGAUACCUGUAAGGCAUCUAGACGGACAUUAAGAGGGGCUGACUCCCAGGCUGCUUCCUAACACUGGUUAGCUCUCAGGCAGCCAAUUAGCUUUGGAUGCCUUUGAGGCACCUGACGUUGAGACUGGUUGACUGUAGACUGAUAUCCCUUAGUUAAAUUGUCCUCAUGCCUCCUCAUACAGAUAGGCCUAUUGAAUAAAUCUGCCAGAUUAUUUUUAACAUUGCAUAUGCCUAACAUUAUGUGAUAAUACUAAUCACACUCAUAUUGCCUUUCUCUUUCAGUUCAUGAAGAAAUGGCGCCCAGGAAGGUAGGAUGGAAGCGGAAGGCCCUGCAGGUGUCAAAAGGUGGACCAUCUGCAAAGAUCGCAAUUUUCCACCAGUCACCACUGGUUGGUGGAGCCUCCGCCCCAGCCCCAACCCCAUCUAGCCCUGCUGCUCCAUCCACCCUUCCUGCCCCAUCCGGCCCUGCUGCUCCACCAAGCCCUACUGCCCCAUCCCAGCCGGCAUUUCAGAAUGUCCACAGCCUUUUGAGGACAUGCUCAGGGCAUCGGAGCAAAGGUGAAGUGCACAGCUAGGCAUAGGUUUCUUCAAGACAGGUUUAUAUUUUUAGUGGUAGUGUGGUAGUAACAGUGCUGAGACCAUUUGUGAUGGGAUCUGGGAAAACCAGUCACAUGGUGAAAUUUGACCUUUUGGAAGCUGACUUCAAGCUUGUUUCAAAUAUGUUUUCAUUAUUUGUCUGUUUCAAAUGUUAUGAUUGCCCAAAGUCAGCUGAUCAGUUAGAUUUCAUGGAAUAGAAUUUUGACAAAAACAACUUUAAAGAGGGGUUCUAAAUAGACUGGCUGGUUGAAUAAAGCACAUUUUAACACAUUCAAUUAAUGAAAAACAAGUAGAUAUGUUUAGGGAUGAUAGACAUGUUAUAGAAUAAUAAUUGAAUCAAAACCCAAUUUCACCAAAAUACUGAGUUUCGACCUACUAGUAUUUUCACUCUAAUCUCAAAAAUGUCCCUUUUCACCAUGUGACUGGUUUCCCCAGAGCCCAUCACAGUUUUGGGUUAUAGGAACAUCUGUUGGGAUGGCAGUAAAGACAGAAGGGCUAUGUACAGACAUUACAUGUGUACAAUACUGUACUGUAUGUAAAGAAGAUGAAAUCCUAAUAUUGUUACGAAUAAUAUUGUUGAAACAUUGAAACCUUCUUUGA